GAUGAACGCUGGCGGCGUGCCUAAUACAUGCAAGUCGAGCGAACGGACGAGAAGCUUGCUCCUCUGAUGUUAGCGGCGGACGGGUGAGUAACACGUGGAUAACCUACCUCUAAGACUGGGAUAAUUUCGGGAAACCGGAGCUAAUACCGGAUAAUAUUUUGAACCGCAUGGUUCAAAAGUGAAAGACGGUCUUGCUGUCACUUAUAGAUGGAUCCGCGCUGCAUUAGCUAGUUGGUAAGGUAACGGCUUACCAAGGCAACGAUGCAUAGCCGACCUGAGAGGGUGAUCGGCCACACUGGAACUGAGACACGGUCCAGACUCCUACGGGAGGCAGCAGUAGGGAAUCUUCCGCAAUGGGCGAAAGCCUGACGGAGCAACGCCGCGUGAGUGAUGAAGGUCUUCGGAUCGUAAAACUCUGUUAUUAGGGAAGAACAUAUGUGUAAGUAACUGUGCACAUCUUGACGGUACCUAAACAGAAAGCCACGGCUAACUACGUG
rnacentral:rRNA from 1 species